GUCACUCUAAUAUCAAAAUCACCGCAGAGGAAGACAGCUGUGCUCAGGCUUCCUCUAGGCAGCCAGGAACUAGCUUAUAUACCUCCACUAAAGAGAUCCCUUGUUAUCCUUUUGCAUCAGCUACCAAACAUGGAGAAACAGAGGGAUUAUUGAAGGACACAGAAGGUCGUGAUAAUGUUAUCACAAUAUUCUAGGACUACAGACGGAGGCGAAGAGUUUGCUGCACCAUGCCUGGGUGUUAGCUACCUGUUGUGGCAGCUCUUCUUCAUUCCUGUGCAUGAAGUCCAGGUGGAGGGCAGUGAGAAAGAAAGAAUUAAGGAAUUGCUAUUGGUUUCUCCAAGUUUCCCAUCAACGUCAGAUUCAAACCAUUUGAAGUUAUUAGAUGUGGAGCAUUCUGUUGUCAUUUUUCUCCUGUUUAUAUUGCCCCCGCAAGCAGAUAAAAUAAAGGAAGUGAAAUUACA